rnacentral:lncRNA from 1 species
CAAACAUAUACGUGUAGCUGCGCACGAGAAUCCAAAGUGAAUGCCAGUCUCCAUCACUGUCGCCAUGUAAAAAACAGUAAACAUUUGCCAAACACACACAGCCCAGCUCUAUGAGUAAUGCUAUCUUUA